rnacentral:lncRNA from 1 species
UCCGUUCAUUCCUUCUUCCAUUUGAUUGUUCUUGAUGUUUGAAGCUUGCGCUUUUAAGCUUGUCUUUUCCUUUCCAUGGUGGUUGUUGGGUUUGAGUGACUUUAGAUUUCCGUUUCCUCUUUCAUUGCUGUUGUUAUUCAUGGUUUCUUUUGCAUUAUGGUUGGUUGGCUGAUGAAAAUGGAGUUCUAUGUGAGUUUUGGGUUGAAGAGAGCUUAAGGUGUUGUGUGGGUGUUGUGGGUUUGGCUCUUUCCUUCCAUAUUUCGGUUUGGAUGUUUGGAACCAAAGUUUGAUGUGUUAUUGUGGCUGGACAGAGCUGGACUUGAUGGCUAAGAUAUUAUUUUCGUUUUUGCAAAGAAACUUGAAGAAAUGGAAGAUUUGGUUGGGUUGAAUUAGUAGUAGUGUGGGUUUAUUGUUCUUGAAUGGUGUUGCAACUUGAAAUGAGGUUUCUUGGGUGUGUGUUUUCGGUGGGAGGAAGAAGAAAAUGCUGAAUGGUGAUUGUUGGUGUGAGAAAACCGAAAAUGGACAAGGAAGGAAGAGAGAGGAGUGCAAUUAAUUUCUUUGCCAUUUUUGGGCAAACAUAGAAGAUGCUUAUUUUGACUAAAGGAAGGUUUCCUCUUUGAGCUUUCUCCUUGCAUUGUUCCAGCUGUGAAUCACCAUCAGAAUGGAGAGUGUUUGAGUUUUUUUUAUUUGCUUUUACUUUGCUUACAUGGCACCUUGGGUGAAGCAUUCAAAGUAUCUUCCAUUUGCACAUUGGUCUUUAAAGCAACUUUUGUAGAAACUCUUUGCAUAGCUCACGUAAAUUGUGUCUUGUUGUGUGCUUUCAUUUUAUUCUUUGCUGCAUCGUUGGAGAGAGAG